UCCGCAAGAUUCGAAAGAAUUUUAAUUUGUAGUGAGUAUCGUAUUCAACCCCCCCUCCCUUCUACGAUACUUUGGACCUAACAAUUGGCAUCAGAGCGAGGCUGAUUGAUAUACAAAUCAGGAUCCUUAUCGUACGGAAAAUCAAGAACCUAGCUUUUGAUAUUUGAUUAGGGGAAAUGUUCUUCCGGUUUGUGUUGCUGAAUUUGUCCGUAUGCCUAAGCAAGGAUUAUCUGUUGGAUACUGAACUUUGGACCAGGACUUAUAAAUUUAUAUUUUAAAUUUUAAUAAGUUUAUUUUAUAAAUUUGAUUUAAUUUAUUUUAAACUUAUUAAUUGAGUUUAUUAUGAAUUAAUUAAAUUUAUCUUAUAAACUUAAUUAAAUUUACUUUAUAAACUUUACUAAAUUCAUUUAAUAAACCCUUCUACGAUACUUUGGACCUAACAAUUGGCAUCAGAGCGAGGCUGAUUGAUAUACAAAUCAGGAUCCUUAUCGUACGGAAAAUCAAGAACCUAGCUUUUGAUAUUUGAUUAUGGGAAAUGUUCUUCCGGUUUGUGUUGCUGAAUUUGUCCGUAGGCCUAAGCAAGGAUUAUCUGUCGGAUACUGAACUUUGGACCGGGA
rnacentral:lncRNA from 1 species